rnacentral:rRNA from 1 species
UCAGGUAAGCACGUAGUCAACAUGCCCAGAUGGACGUGGAUAACCUCGGGAAACUGAGGAUAAACCGCGAUAGGUCAUAAUAUCUGGAAUGAUUUAUGGCUUAAAUCUAUAUGGCCUCUGGAUUGGACUGCGGCCGAUCAGGCUGUUGGUGAGGUAAUGGCCCACCGAAGACCUAAAACCGGUACGGGCUCUGAGAGGAGAAGCCCGGAGAUGGGCACUGAGACAAGGGCCCAGGCCCUAUGGGGCGCAGCAGGCGCGAAAACUCUGCAAUAAGCGAAAGCUUGACAGGGUUAUUCUGAGUGAUUUCCGCUAAGGAAAUCUUUUUGGCACCUCUAAAAAUGGUGCAGAAUAAGGGGUGGGCAAGCCUGG